rnacentral:rRNA from 1 species
GACGAACGCUGGCGGCGUGCUUAACACAUGCAAGUCGAGCGGUAAGGCCCUUUCGGGGGUACGACGAGCGGCGAACGGGUGAGUAACACGUGGGUGACCUGCCCUCAGCUCUGGGAUAAGCCUGGGAAACCGGGGUCUAAUACCGGAUAUGACUCCAUGACGCAUGUUGUGGGGUGGAAAGCCUUGUGCGGCUGAGGAUGGGCCCGCGGCCUAUCAGCUUGUUGGUGGGGUGAUGGCCUACCAAGGCGACGAUCCGUAGCUGGUCUGAGAGGAUGAUCAGCCACACUGGAACUGAGACACGGUCCAGACUCCUACGGGAGCAGCAGUGGGGAAUUUUGGACAAUGGGGGCAACCCUGAUCCAGCCAUUCCGCGUGAGUGAAGAA